rnacentral:rRNA from 1 species
AUUGAACGCUGGCGGCAUGCCUUACACAUGCAAGUCGAACGGUAACAGGUCUUCGGAUGCUGACGAGUGGCGAACGGGUGAGUAAUACAUCGGAACGUGCCCGAUCGUGGGGGAUAACGAGGCGAAAGCUUUGCUAAUACCCCAUACGAUCUACGGAUGAAAGCGGGGGAUCUUCGGACCUCGCGCGGACGGAGGGGCCGAUGGCAGAUUAGGUAGUUGGUGGGAUAAAAGCUGACCAAGCCGACGAUCUGGAGCUGGUCUGAGAGGAUGAUCAGCCACACUGGGACUGAGACACGGCCCAGACUCCUACGGGAGGCAGCAGUGGGGAAUUUUGGACAAUGGGGGAAACCCUGAUCCAGCCAUGCCGCGUGCAGGAUGAAGGCCUUCGGGUUGUAAACUGCUUUUGUACGGAACGAAAAGGUCUCUUCUAAUAAAGGGGGCCCAUGACGGUACCGUAAGAAUAAGCACCGGCUAACUACGUGCCAGCAGCCGCCGUAAUAC